CUAUGAAUCUGUCAACAUUGAACGGGCAAUCCGGUAUUCCCUCACCUUCGACGGAUUCAGAUAAAAAAUGUAUUGAUUAAUUGAUGUAUCUUAAACCACCUUUCCUCCUGAUUAAACCUUCACCUUGUAUUUCCUCUUCGCUUCCUUCUCUCCAAACUCAAGUUCAAUUUCUCUCUUUUCUUCAUCCACUUCCGCUGUUGGCCCAGCCAACACCACACAAACAGACACAUAUACACGCCCUUCAAUGUCGUGGCUUCCUACGACAAUAACCAACAAAACUUUUGUUCCUCUUCAGUUAAUCAAUCGAUUCUUUGUGUUAUUGGUUUUUAAAUUGGAUAGAUUUGGGUAUUAUGGAUGAAAACCCUAAAUCUCAGAGUCUUCGAAUUUAUAGAAUUGAUGGAUAGGCAUACACUGAUUCAAUGGAUGGAUGAGCUCACAUAGAUUCGAUUGAUGGGAACCACUGAUGGCACCAUCGAGGCGACACAGUCACUACGAAUAAAGCAAAAGGUCCCAACUGCAACAGUUACAUGUCAUCAACUUCCACAUCUUCGAUUGGUUGUUCUACUGAUUAAUACAUCUAUUUAAUCAGGUAUAUUUAUAUUGGGUUUUUUAUGGAUCAGGAGGGUAUUUAUAAUUAACUACGUCAUCGAAGCAUGUAGUCUUGUAAAGAAUGUAAGUCCCGACUUCCUUUUUGUAAAGUUUCUAUUACUUUUUUCUUUUAGUUGUUUUGAAUCCAUCUUAACUUGUUUCUAUUUGGUUUUUUGUUUUGGUAUUGAUAAAAAUAUGUUAAUCCACACCUUAUGUAACCCAGUCAACAUAGGUUUUGCUUAAUGUAGUAAGAUUCAUGUAGAAUUUGGUUGUUUCAAAUGUUCUAAUCCUUUCUGGCGAAACAUGAAUAUGAAUAGAGCCUGAAAAUUAGGUUUAUACAAAAGACGAAAAUGGUGUCAUCAAUGUGUCAAACAUGAAAACACAAAAUAGUCGAGGGAGGUACUGAAUUAUCAAAAGUGGCAGUGAGUAAAUCUUAUUAGAAUGUUAAUGUUACUAAGAUGUUAAUAUGUUUUGCUUAUGCAAUUUAUAUGCAUGUAUGGUGUCUUAAAACCUUGCACAAAAAUGUUGUGUGCUCUUUUUCUAUCAAUUCUAAUUACUUGUAUAUUUAUAUAUAUUUCUUGUGUGGUGUACAUCUCUCUCUCUCUCUCUCUCUCUCUCUCUCUAUAUAUAUAUAUAUAUAUAUAUAUAUAUAUAUAUAUAUAUAUAUAUAUAUAUAUAUAUAUAUAUAUAUAUAUAUAUAUAUAUAUAUGGUUUCGAUUAUUAACACACACAUCCAUACAUCAAAUUUUGCAUUUGUUUUGUUGGCUGGACAGAUCUGAAAAGAUUCAGAUAGCACCACCAUUUUUUCAUUUUCUCAUAUGUGAAAGUUUGUUUUUUCAGGGAAACUUCAAAUUUCCAUAAAAUGUGACAAUAAUGAGUUUAUGGAAUCACUUUCUGAUGAAGUUGGUUGUGAAAGUUUGUUAUAGUAGGAAAGGGAGAAAAAACUAAUUGAAUUCAAAGGAAAAAAAAAGGUAAUUAAGGCAUAUAUGUCUCUUUUUAUAUUUUUUUCUCUAACUGUGUGUGUGUGUGUGUUUAACUGUGUAAGUAUGUAUAUGUUUACAGGUCCUAAAAUGGGUGUUUAAUUAUGUGUGUUUAUAGAUCGUGAAAUGUUGUGUUUAGUAAAGUUUUGAUUUUUAUCGAUUUCAUUAGACAUGUGUAACCCCAUUUGUUCCAUUCAUGUAAUUGGUCACCUAUAUAUUAUCACAUUUUUAUAUUUGAAGGCAUUUGUAGCCCUUUUUUUCAGGUGCUUCUUAAAAUGGAGAAUCAUGGAGGCAAGUGAUGAUUAGAGUCUACAAAACACCAAAUUAUUGAGAUUAAACACUUUUAGGAAAUUUAUUCUUUAUGUUAUUAGAAUCCCAAUUACUUUUAUUGUAUUUCUUUUUUGACUCUUUGAUUUGGUUUGAGACAAGCAAGUGGGAGGGUGAGAUGGGAUGGGGGUGAUGGGGCCAACUGAAUAUUAAUAAAACAAUUGCAGUAGCCAACUUUUGCAGUUAAAAAUGGUUAUGUCAAUGUAAGUUUUAAUUUUGUAAUGUUUUGUUUAAUAAUACGAUAGAGACAGUACUUCUUUGUA